rnacentral:rRNA from 1 species
AUGGCUCAGAUUGAACGCUGGCGGCAGGCUUAACACAUGCAAGUCGAACGGUUUUGAGUACUUGUACUUAAGAUAGUGGCGAACGGGUGAGUAAUGCCUAGGAAUCUGCCGAUUAAUGGGGGAUAACGUCCCGAAAGGAACGCUAAUACCGCAUACGCCCUACGGGGAAAGCAGGGGAUCUUCGGACCUUGCGUUAAUUGAUGAGCCUAGGUCGGAUUAGCUAGUUGGUGAGGUAAAGGCUCACCAAGGCGACGAUCUGUAGCGGGUCUGAGAGGAUGAUCCGCCACACUGGGACUGAGACACGGCCCAGACUCCUACGGGAGGCAGCAGUGGGGAAUAUUGGACAAUGGGCGGAAGCCUGAUCCAGCCAUGCCGCGUGUGUGAAGAAGGCCUUUAGGUUGUAAAGCACUUUAAGCGGGGAGGAGGCUACCUGGGAUAAUACCCUGGAGUAGUGGACGUUACCCGCAGAAUAAGCACCGGCUAACUCUGUG